GACGAACGCUGGCGGCGUGCUUUAGGCAUGCAAGUCGAACGCGAAAGCCCCUUCGGGGGUGAGUAGAGUGGCGAACGGGUGAGUAACACGUGGGUAACCUGCCCCUCGCAGGGGGAUAACCGGGGGAAACCCCGGCUAAUACCCCGUACGCUUGCUGGGGCGCAUGCUCCGGCAAGGAAAGGUAGCUUCGGCCAUCCGGCGAGGGAGGGGCCCGCGGCCCAUUAGCUAGUUGGUGGGGUAACGGCCCACCAAGGCGACGAUGGGUAGCUGGCCUGAGAGG
rnacentral:rRNA from 1 species